GUAGCUCACACGAGCCCGUUCCUUUGCAAGGCGGGGGUCAGGGGUUCGAUUCCCCUCGUCUCCA
rnacentral:tRNA from 1 species